UACGUAGGUCGCAAGCGUUGUCCGGAAUUAUUGGGCGUAAAGAGCUCGUAGGCGGCCUGUUGCGUCCGCUGUGAAAUCCCGGGGCUUAACCCCGGGCUUGCAGUGGAUACGGGCAGGCUGGAGGCAGGCAGGGGAGAACGGAAUUCCCGGUGUAGCGGUGAAAUGCGCAGAUAUCGGGAGGAACACCGGUGGCGAAGGCGGUUCUCUGGGCCUGUACUGACGCUGAGGAGCGAAAGCGUGGGGAGCGAACAGG
rnacentral:rRNA from 1 species